GAUGAACGCUGGCGGCGUGCCUAAUACAUGCCAGUCGAGCGAACGGACGAGAAGCUUGCUUCUCUGAUGUUAGCGGCGGACGGGUGAGUAACACGUGGAUAACCUACCUAUAAGACUGGGAUAACUUCGGGAAACCGGAGCUAAUACCGGAUAAUAUUUUGAACCGCAUGGUUCAAAAGUGAAAGACGGUCUUGCUGUCACUUAUAGAUGGAUCCGCGCUGCAUUAGCUAGUUGGUAAGGUAACGGCUUACCAAGGCAACGAUGCAUAGCCGACCUGAGAGGGUGAUCGGCCACACUGGAACUGAGACACGGUCCAGACUCCUACGGGAGGCAGCAGUAGGGAAUCUUCCGCAAUGGACGAAAGCCUGACGGAGCAACGCCGCGUGAGUGAUGAAGGUCUUCGGAUCGUAAAACUCUGUUAUUAGGGAAGAACAUAUGUGUAAGUAACUGUGCACAUCUUGACGGUACCUAAUCAGAAAGCCACGGCUAACUACGUG
rnacentral:rRNA from 1 species